rnacentral:rRNA from 1 species
GGGGAGCGAACAGGAUUAGAUACCCUGGUAGUCCACGCCGUAAACGGUGGGCGCUAGUUGUGCGAACCUUCCACGGUUUGUGCGACGCAGCUAACGCAUUAAGCGCCCCGCCUGGGGAGUACGAUCGCAAGAUUAAAACUCAAAGGAAUUGACGGGGCCCCGCACAAGCAGCGGAGCAUGCGGCUUAAUUCGACGCAACGCGAAGAACCUUACCAAGGCUUGACAUAUACAGGAAUAUGGCAGAGAUGUCAUAGCCGCAAGGUCUGUAUACAGGUGGUGCAUGGUUGUCGUCAGCUCGUGUCGUGAGAUGUUGGGUUAAGUCCCGCAACGAGCGCAACCCUCGUUCUGUGUUGCCAGCAUUUAGUUGGGGACUCACAGGAGACUGCCGGGGUUAACUCGGAGGAAGGUGGGGAUGACGUCAAAUCAUCAUGCCCCUUAUGUCUUGGGCUGCACGCAUGCUACAAUGGCUGGUACAAACGGCUGCAAUACCGCAAGGUGGAGCGAAUCCGAGAAAGCCAGUCUCAGUUCGGAUUGGGGUCUGCAACUCGACCCCAUGAAGUCGGAGUUGCUAGUAAUCGUAGAUCAGCAACGCUACGGUGAAUACGUUCCCGGGGCUUGUACACACCGCCCGUCACAUCACGAAAGUCGUAACACCCAAAG